rnacentral:rRNA from 1 species
UACGGAGGGUGCAAGCGUUAUCCGGAUUCACUGGGUUAAAGGGUGCGUAGGUGGGCAGUUAAGUCAGUGGUGAAAUCUCCGGGCUUAACCCGGAAACUGCCAUUGAUACUAUCUGUCUUGAAUAUCGUGGAGGUAAGCGGAAUAUGUCAUGUAGCGGUGAAAUGCUUAGAUAUGACAUAGAACACCAAUUGCGAAGGCAGCUUACUACCCGAAUAUUGACACUGGAGGCACGAAAGCGUGGGGAUCAAACAGG